CACUCCUACGGGACGCAGCAGGGAAUUUUCGUCAAUGGGCGCAAGCCUGAACGAGCGAUGCCGCGUGAGUGAAGAAGGCCUUCGGGUCGUAAAGCUCUGUUGCGGGGGAAAAAAGGCAGCAUCAGGAAAUGGGUGCUGACUGAUGGUGCCCCGCCAGAAAGUCACGGCUAACUACGUGCCAGCAGCCGCGGUAAUACGUAGGUGGCGAGCGUUAUCCGGAAUGAUUGGGCGUAAAGGGUGCGCAGGCGGUCCUGCAAGUCUGGAGUGAAACGCAUGGGCUCAACUCAUGCAUGGCUUUGGAAACU
rnacentral:rRNA from 1 species